rnacentral:rRNA from 1 species
UCAGGGCCUAAAAACAUGCAAGUCGAACGGGGAAAGCUUUCGGGUGAGUACUAGUGGCGCACGGGUGAGGAACGCGUGGAUAAUCUGCCUUAGAGUGGGGGAUAACUAGUCGAAAGAUUAGCUAAUACCGCAUAAGACCACAGGAGCUGCGGCUCAAGGGGUCAAAGGUUUUUCGCUCUAAGAUGAGUCCGCGUAAGAUUAGCUAGUUGGUGAGGUAACGGCUCACCAAGGCGACGAUCUUUAACUGGUCUGAGAGGAUGAUCAGUCACACUGGAACUGAGACACGGUCCAGACUCCUACGGGAGGCAGCAGUAGGGAAUAUUGCACAAUGGAGGAAACUCUGAUGCAGCGACGCCGCGUGAGUGAUGAAGGCCUUCGGGUCGUAAAGCUCUGUCGCAGGGGAAUAACACAAUGAAUGUACCCUGUAAGAAAGGAUCGGCUAACUUCGUGCCAGCAGCCGCGGUAAGACGAGGGAUCCUAGCGUUGUUCGGAAUUAUUGGGCGUAAAGCGGAUGUAGGUGGCUUUGUAAGUCAGAUGUGAAAGCCCAGGGCUCAACCCUGGAAGUGCAUUUGAUACUGCGAAGCUUGAGUGUCGGAGAGGUUACUAGAAUUGUUGGUGUAGUGGUGAAAUACGUAGAUAUCAACAGGAAUACCGGAGGCGAAGGCGGGUAACUGGCCGAACACUGACACUGAGAUCCGAAAGCGUGGGGAUCAAACAGGAUUAGAUACCCUGGUAGUCCACGCCGUAAACGA